CCCCCUCUCUCUCUUCUUUCUUUUCAUUUCUUUCCUCUUUCUUUCUCUCUCUAAGCUGGUUGAGGCUUGGUGAGUUGGUGCUGGCAGAGUUGGAAAAGAGUUGGAUUUCUUGGUGUCUUGAGCGGAAAGGGAUCUGCCGAGCAGGGUCUUUGUGCUAUUGGAACUAAGAACAACCUGGUAGAACAUCAGAUUAAGAUUUUUGGAGUUCAUGGAGUUUUCAGUUGAUAAGUGAAGUUUGGGGCCGAGAAAUCCCUUUGGGAAGUUUCAAAUCCAGGUAAGCUUGAUGUCUACUCCUGGUUUGAAUAACAUUGGCUGCUUGGAAGUUGGUUUCUAGGUGAUUAAAGCUUGUAUUAGCUUAUAGAGACCCUGAAAUUAUAUAAGACUGCAUAUAUGUAUAUGGAUAUAUAUGUAGGAAUGUAAAGUAGAUAAUCUGACCAUGUUUCUUUAAAAAGGGAUAGUAAAUUCAACCUAGAAAAUAGUGGAAUCAAAGAUUUCUUAUGUGCUGAAAUUCGAAACAGUAUGGAGAACCUAUAAAACGAGUUCUAUGUAUGUAUGUAUGUAUGUAUGUAUGUAUGUAUGUAUAUACACAUAGAUCUAAGUGAGCAGCAUGUUCAGAAUGAAAGUUGGAUCCAAUUAGUUUUAAA